rnacentral:lncRNA from 1 species
UAAAGAGAGAAGCCCAUGUCCCUCAGACGCCACACAAAAUGGGGGUAACCGCGAGAACAAAGCAGGGUACCCAACGGGGUGUGGCGGGACACCUGGGCGCACGCCGCCAGCGCCCGGGAGAGCGAAGGCGGGGAGAGAGGAACCACGCUGAGGCGUGGCAGGAUGGGGGCGGGACUUCCGGAAGCCAUUUGGCUGAGUGGCAGGGGAACCGGAAGUGGAGGAGCUGCUGCUGGUGCUGGGGCCGGAGGAGGGACGCGCCGGAGCGGGACCGACGGGACCGAGCGAGCGACCGACGCGCCACCCGCCGACGCCUCAGCCGCUUGGGGCCCGCACGGACCCUCUACUUCAGUGUAGAAUGAGCCAAGGAGACUCAAACCCAGCAGCUAUUCCGCAUGCAGCAGAAGAUAUUCAAGGAGAUGACCGAUGGAUGUCUCAGGUAAAAGGAAGUGCAUGUGUAUCAUUCACAUGAGUUGAGUCUCCAGUUUUUUGUCUGUUUUGUUUUAGUUUUUGAGACAAGGUCUCACUGUGUUGCCCAGGCUGGUUUCAAACUCCUGACCUCAAGUGAUCUGCCUGUCUAGGCCUCCCAAAGUGCUGGGAUUACAGGCGUGAGCCACCAUGCCCUGCUGUGUCUAUAUCUAUUUCUAUAUGUAUAUACUAACGUAGUGGGUUUUUCUGAAGCAUUUGCACUCAUUUCCCUUAUCCCUGAAUAUUUCAGCAUGUUUUCUUAAAAACAAGGACUUUUCUUAAAUAACUAUAGGAUAGUUAUUAAAAUCAUGAGAUGUAAUAUUGAUAUAAUACUAUUAUUACUUAAUCCAAAGACCAUAUUCAGAUUUCUCCAGUUGUCCCAAUAUUUUUUUCUUUUCUUUUUUUUUUUUUAAGACAGGGCAGUAUACAGUGGCUCAUGCCUGUAAUCCCAGCACGUUAGGAGGCCAGGGCAGGUUGGGAAGUCAAGGCGGGAGGAUCACUUGAGCCCAGGAUAUUAAGGCUACAAUGAACUAUAAUUGUGCCACUGCACUCCAGCCUGGGUGACAGAUUGAGACCUUAUCUCAAAAAGAAAAAAAAGAAGUAUACCACAGUUGAUUUGCCCAUUUUUUCUUUCAUGGACAUCUGGAUCAUUUAUACCUUUAUGAAUAGUAACUAGGCCAGGAGUAGUGACUCACACCUGUAAUCUCAGCACUUUGGGAAGCUGAGGCAGGUGAAUCGCUUGAGCCCAGGAGUUCAAGACGAAGG